CCAGAGUUUGAUCCUGGCUCAGGACGAACGCUGGCGGCGGGCUUAACACAUGCAAGUCGUGGGAGAAUUUUGGUGUUUGCACCAAAAGGAGACCGGCGAAUGGGUGAGUAACGCGUAGGCAAUCUGCCUGGGAGACGGGGAUAACCCACCGAAAUUUUGCUAAUACCGGAUGAUGCAGCGGGGUCGCAUGACCCUGUUGUUAAAGGUUGCGGCCACUCCCAGAGGAGCCUGCGUGCCAUUAAGCUAAGUUGGUGCGGAAACCGGCGCACCAAGGCGAUGAUGGCUAGGGGGUCUGAGAGGAUGAUCCCCACCCUUGGGACUGAGAACCGGCCCAACUCCUACCGGAGGCAGCAGUGAGGAAAUCUUACCCCAUUGGGGGCCAACCCUGACCCAACCCCCCCCCGUUGCCGGAAAAGACCGGCCUUUGGGGUUGUAAACCGGUUUUUUAAGGUGGGGAAGGAAUCUCCCGAA
rnacentral:rRNA from 1 species